GAUGAGGACUCCUGCACCUUUGUGAGUCACAGCCUGUCCUUCCCUGUCAGGCCCAGCUGUCACUCUCCUGGGCCUGUCUCAAAGAAACCCCGGGCCAGGAAGGAGCCCCAGAGGUGCUCAGUUCAGCAGAGAGAGCCAUUUCCUGUGCAUCUGCCAGUGGAAGAAAAGCAACAAUCACGGUGCCAGAGGGAGCCCAGAGAAUAUGGAAAGUUUAACGACAGGCGGGCAGACCCUGACUGGCAGCUUCGUCAGUGCAACCCAGAUAACGACAAACGCAAACCUCGCCAUGGUCCAGACACCUCACUCCGACUUCCUCUCCGUGCCAGCGCAGAGCCCGCCAAAGGUCAUGGACAAGAUAGAAUUUGACACAAUAAGACUCCACUCCCAUGUUAAUGCCCCUCCGAUCCGGGCCUGCAAAAGUGAAAUAAUAAAUUUAGGAAAACAAGCAGAA